rnacentral:rRNA from 1 species
UACAGAGGGUGCGAGCGUUGUCCGGAAUCAUUGGGCGUAAAGCGCGUGUAGGCGGUCCGGUAAGUCGGCUGUGAAAGUCCAGGGCUCAACCCUGGGAUGCCGGUCGAUACUGCCGGACUAGAGUUCGGAAGAGGCGAGUGGAAUUCCCGGUGUAGCGGUGAAGUGCGCAGAUAUCGGGAGGAACACCAAUGGCGAAGGCAGCUCGCUGGGACGUUACUGACGCUGAGACGCGAAAGCGUGGGGAGCGAACGGG